UACGUAGGGGGGCAAGCGUUGUCCGGAUUUAUUGGGCGUAAAGAGCGUGUAGGCGGCCCGGUAAGUCCGCUGUAAAAGUCAAAGGCUCAACCUUUGAAUGUCAGUGGAUACUGCCGGGCUAGAGUCCGGAAGAGGCGAGUGGAACUCCUGGUGUAGCGGUGGAAUGCGCAGAUAUCAGGAAGAACACCCGUGGCGAAGGCGGCUCUCUGGGACGGUACUGACGCUGAGACGCGAAAGCGUGGGGAGCGAACAGG
rnacentral:rRNA from 1 species